ACUUACAGGACCUAGCUAGGAUGAACAUGAUAUCAUGCUGGGAACUGUAUAAACACAGAGUGUGACAACCUCCAUAGACAAGAUCAUGGUGGAAGGGGAACAGAGGAAUGAAGGUUUUAAAGCAAGUCAGGAAAUAGAGCAGUUUACCAGCAGUGUAUCAUCAUACGAUACACUCUCAUGCCAUUUGUCAUGCUGAUCUGGUGAAAUACCAUAGAUGACUACAAGUGAGACAAGGUGACAGCAGAACAUGGCAUCGUAGGAGGCUAUUCUCUUUGGAAUCACCCCUUCAGCUCCUGAGCUCUUCCUCCAGCUCUCCUCAGGUGGAAAAAGUGUCACGGCCUGUAAUGCAGUGUGCUUCUGCCACCUUCCCUCCAUUCCCCAGAACCUGCCAGAGCAGUCUGGGAUGAAGCAGUACCAGUUUCACCAGAGAAGAUUUUGAAGGAGAUGUUUGGAGGUAGAUAUGGCUAGACUGCAAACUACAGUUGCAGCACCUCUAUGAGCAGCUCUUUUAAUCCAAAGAAGCAAGUUUACUGACUCUGCCUGGCUCUGUAUAUGAUUCUGCUGAGCAACGAAACCAAACACGGGGCAGAGGAGCUUCAAAAGGAGACUAAUCACUCAAAAGCCUGAACCAAGGACAUCGCCAGAGCUAAUCAAGUAGGAAAUCCAGGGCAAGGUGGAAAUGAGGGAAAUGAGUCCUUCAGUGCGAGGAAUUUUUCCAUGGCUUUCGUUUCCUAAUUCCACACUUUGAAGGAUCCCUCCAUGUGGCCUCCUCAGUGCUGCUGGGAGCCCUGCUCUCGAACCUGCCAGCGCCUGCUCUCUACAUGAAAUGAGGCAGUAGGCCUUCACUCCUGGGGUCCCCGCUCUCAAGCACACUGGAGGCAGAGGUCUUGAAAGUAGCCUUAGGCAACGCCCUCAGGCUAGCUUCAGUGCUUCAUUGCCAGGUUCGGCGUCUGUGGAGCAGGCAUGGGUGGGUGUGGCUUGCACAAGAGCAGGGCACUCAGGACUGCUGUGGAAAUGGCACAGACAUACCUAAGAAGGACCAGGAAUAUAUUUUGUUUUUUAAACGAGAGGUGGGACGCUGAUAUCAGCCUGCUACCAAGGUGUAGGUUUGUUCUGGCCUGCAUGUGCACUUCCUCCACCACAAACUGGGGAAAGGUCCCUGGCACUGCAUGGAAGGCUAGUUGACAUCUCUGUGCCUACAUCAUCCAGUGCAAAGUUAUGGCUGCCUCCCAUGAAGGUGCGCUAGGGGAGGGAAGGAGACUCCCUUCCUCUCCCAGCCCUCUAAAGGGGCAGACAUACCUCAGCCCUGAUGUGCAAAUACCAGAGAGAGGUGCAGUGACGGGGAGUCACUGAAUAGCUUUUUCCAAUUUUCCUGUUUACCAGAAUGUACUGGUUUCUCCCUCCUUUACCAAGGCCAGGGUGUAUUUGUGGUUUACAGUUAAGACUGAAAGCAUCUCCCCCCCUCCCCUUCCCCAAAGCCAGCAGCUGCUGUGCUGCCUCCUUUGCGUCCCUCAGACAAAACAUGCAGGAACAUAUUCUGAGAAGGGCAAAGCAAACAAUCUGCUGGAUAAAAUAAAGACUUGACAGGAUGAGAAAUGGAGAAAGGGCACAUGAGCUUGGAAGGGAAUCUGACACCUGCACACUGGCUACAGAACUCAUGCUCUCAGCUGUGUUACAGCACGCUGGAUGGCUUGUGUAUUCAGGUAUUCUAUGUUCUUUCUUGUUACAUAGUAAAGUCAUGUACUUCCUGAUAUGCAUGUUUUAUUUGG